CGACGCCGCGUGAGGGAUGACGGCCUUCGGGUUGUAAACCUCUUUCAGCAGGGAAGAAGCGAAAGUGACGGUACCUGCAGAAGAAGCGCCGGCUAACUACGUGCCAGCAGCCGCGGUGAUACGUAGGGCGCAAGCGUUGUCCGGAAUUAUUGGGCGUAAAGAGCUCGUAGGCGGUCAGUCGCGUCUGCUGUGAAAAACUCGAGGCUCAACCUCGGGCUUGCAGUGGGUACGGGCUGACUAGAGUGCGGUAGGGGUGACUGGAAUUCCUGGUGUAGCGGUGGAAUGCGCAGAUAUCAGGAGGAACACCGAUGGCGAAGGCAGGUCACUGGGCCGCAACUGACGCUGAGGAGCGAAAGCAUGGGGAGCGAACAGGAUUAGAUACCCUGGUAGUCCAUGCCGUAAACGUUGGGCACUAGGUGUGGGGUCCAUUCCACGGAUUCCGUGCCGCAACUAACGCAUUAAGUGCCCCGCCUGGGGAGUACGGCCGCAAGGCUA
rnacentral:rRNA from 1 species